UUCUGCAGAGCUCAGUGAAGAAACCAACACUCUCCACAAUGUCAUUCUGUUUGUUGCUAGUUAUAACCACAUUCAUUGGCACCAGCAGACAAGACAGCAUUACUCCAACAUCUCCUGCUGUCCAUGCAAAAGAAAAGGAAGCAGCCAGAAUUUCUUGUGAAUACAAGUACACAGUGUCAAUGAAUAAUCUGCAGUGGUAUCGGCAAUAUUCCAAUGCUAAGCCAGAAUUCCUGGUUCUAAUCAUGGAGUCGGGACAAAAUCAAACUGCGACACCACCUCACCCCCGACUGACCAGCUCAGUUGAUAAAGAGAAAAAGCUGGUGAAUCUGGAAAUCUUCCCCGCCGAUGUGAAGGAUUCUGCUGUGUAUUACUGUGCACUGCAGCCCACAACUGUGGGAGGAAAUUGGAGUACCCGGGAAAACCCACGCGAACACAGGGAGAACAUGAAAACUUUGCACAGAAAGUGCCGACUGGCUCAGCUAGUACUUGAUCCAAUGACCUUCUUGCUGUGA